UGAGGAAUAUUGGCUAAUGGGCGCAAGCCUGAACCAGCCAAGUAGCGUGCAGGAAGACGGCCCUAUGGGUUGUAAACUGCUUUUAUACGAGAAUAAUUUGAUGCACGUGUGCGUUAUUGCAUGUAUCGUAUGAAUAAGGACCGGCUAAUUCCGUGCCAGCAGCCGCGGUAAUACGGAAGGUCCAGGCGUUAUCCGGAUUUAUUGGGUUUAAAGGGAGUGUAGGCGGUUUGUUAAGCGUGUUGUGAAAUUUAGAUGCUCAACAUUUAACUUGCAGCGCGAACUGGCGAACUUGAGUGCACACAACGUAUGCGGAAUUCAUGGUGUAGCGGUGAAAUGCUUAGAUAUCAUGAAGAACUCCGAUUGCGAAGGCAGCAUACGGGAGUGUAACUGACGCUUAAGCUCGAAGGUGCGGGUAUCGAACAGGAUUAGAUACCCUGGUAGUCCGCACAGUAAACGAUGGAUGCCCGCUGUUAGCGCCUGGCGUUAGCGGCUAAGCGAAAGCAUUAAGCAUCCCACCUGGGGAGUACGCCGGCAACGGUG
rnacentral:rRNA from 1 species